AUUUAUACAUGUCUGUAAAAAAUAGAUUUCUGUUAUUGAUAAUUUUUUAAAGUAACUAGAAAAAGAUCAAAUGAAGCCCCAAACAACCAGGAUAAUAAAGAUUGGAGUAGAAAUAAACUAAAUAGAGACUAGAAGAAGAGUUAGAAAUUGUGUGAACACCUGAAUUCACAGCAACAUAAGUCACAGUAGCAAAAAGUAGAAACAAUCUUAGUGUCUAUUGAUGGAAGAACUGAUAAACAACAUGUGGUAUACACACACACACACACACACACACACAUAUUAUUCACCCUUAAAAAGGAAGGAAAUUCUGACACAUGCCACAACGUGAGUGAGCCUUGAAGACAUAUGUUUAAAAAAAAAAAAAGCUAGUAACAGGACAACUAUUCUAUAAUUCGACUUUCGUGAGAUACCUAGAAUCAUCAAGUUUAUAGUGAUAGACAUUAGAAUGGUGGUUGCCACAGGCCAGUCAGGAAGAAAUGAAGAGUUAGUUCUACAUGGGUACAGGUUUCAAUUUUGUAUGAUGCAAAAGUUCUGGAGAUGGAUGGUGAUAGUUGACAGCAAUGCAAAUGUAACUGUAUAGAACUGUACAAUUAUAGGAAUUACAACCAAAAUUUUGAUAAUAUAUGUAUUUUACCAAUAAAAAAAGAAUCAAAAAGUUGGUUGGUUGAAACAAUCAAAAAAUUGAUAAUAUUUUAGCUAUAUUGACAAAGAAACAAGAAAGGACAAAUAUCACUAAAAUAUGAAAUGAAAAUAUAUAUGUUAGUAUCCAGUUUACAGAAAUAAAAAGGAUUGGGCUGGGGCUGUAGCUCAGUGGUAGAGUGCUCACAUUAAACUAAAAAGCUUCUUCAUAGCAAAGAAAACAAUCAAGAACAUGAACAGAGAGCCUACAGAAUGGGAGAAAAUCUUUACCACCUGAACCUUAGAUAGAGCAUUAAUCUCCAGGAUAUACACAAAACUCAAAAAACUUAACGCACACACAAAAAAAACAAAUAAUCCAGUCAAAUGGGCAAAUAAACUGAACAGGCACUUCAUAGAAGAAGACAUAUGAAUGGUCAAAAAAAGUAUGAUAUAUCAAGAACUAUGUAAUGUUUUGAACAACCAACAAUAAAAAAUUUUUUUUAAAAAGUAUGAAAAAAUGUUCAACAUUUCUAGCAAUUAGGGAAAUGCAAAUUAAAACUACACUGAGAUUUCAUCUCACUACAGUCAGAAUGACAGUUACCAAGAAAACAAGUAACAAUAAAUAUUAGCAAGGAUGUAGGGUAAAAGGUACACUCCUACAUAGCUGGUGGGACUGCAAACUGGGUUCAACCACUCUGGAAAGCUGUACAGAGAUUCCUCAGAAAACUUGGAAUGGAACCACCAUUUGACCCAGUUAUCCAACUCCUCAGCUUAUAUCCAAAUGACUUAAAAUCCGCAUACUACAGUGAUGCAGACGCAUCAAUGUUUAUAGCAGCUCGAUUCAUAAUAGUCAAGCUUUGGAAACAACCCAGGUGCUCUUCAACAGAUGAAUGGAUAAAGAAAAUUUGGUAAAUGUACACAAUGAAAUAUUGCUCAGCCAUAAAGAAGAAUUAAAUUAUGAUACUUGCCAGUAAAUGGAUGGAACUGGAGACUAUCAUUUCCAAAGAUACCUAUGUGAAAACCCUAAGUGAAAUAAAUCAAAAUCCCAAAAAGCCAAAGGCCAAAUGUUCUCUUUGAUAUACAGAUGAUAACACAUAAUUAGUAGGGAGGGAAGAAUAGAAAUUCAUUAGAUUAGACAAAGGGGAAUGAAAGAAAGGGAGAGGGGAUGGGAAUAGGAAAGACAGUAGAAUAAAUCAGACAUAACUUUCCUAUGCUCACAUAUGAAUACACAACCAGUGUAACUCCAUAUCAUGUUUAACCACAAGAAUGGUACAAAAAUUGUGAUGGGUUGCACCCCAUCACAUGUAUAAAAUGUAUAAAAUGUCAAAAUACACCAUAUAUCAUGGGUGUAAAAAAAAACAAAAUGAAACAAAAAAACCAAAGGCAGAUAUAAUCAGACUGAAUAAGAAAUAAAUAUGGAGGAGAAAGCUGUUGUAAAAGUGAGAAUAGCAUUAUAUCCCCACAACAAGGUGUAUUCUGGAAAUUUUAAAAUGUAAUCAUAUGAACAUUAUUUUCAUUAAAAAUAUGAAAAGAGGAGUCAAGAACACGCAAGAUUCCACAUAUCUCUGCUACUUUUCAACCUUGCAAAGGAGAUCCCAAGCAAUGUAAUCAAAUGGGAAUAAAAAGAUAUAAAUAUAACAUUGAAUGAACACAAAACUGUGAAUAAUCCCAGAUGAUAUGACCAUUUACCUAGAAAACCCAAGAGGAUCAACUGACAAACUAUUAAAACCAAGAACUGAAUUUUAUAUAUGGUCCAAAAUAAUAACAUCAUCCAAAAUUAAAAAAAAAAAACUAUUGUUUUCUUUAGCAC
rnacentral:lncRNA from 1 species